rnacentral:rRNA from 1 species
GAUGAACGCUAGCGGCAGGCUUAAUACAUGCAAGUCGAACGGGAUUGAGAAGCUUGCUUUUCAUGAGAGUGGCGCACGGGUGCGUAACACGUAUGCAACCUGCCUUGUCCAGGGGGAUAGCCCGUUGAAAGACGGAUUAAGACCGCAUAACAUCAUUGAAUGGCAUCGUUUAAUGAUCAAAUAUUUAUAGGGACAAGAUGGGCAUGCGUCUGAUUAGCUAGUUGGCGGGGUAAUGGCCCACCAAGGCGACGAUCAGUAGGGGAUCUGAGAGGAUGACCCCCCACACUGGUACUGAGACACGGACCAGACUCCUACGGGAGGCAGCAGUAAGGAAUAUUGGUCAAUGGAGGCAACUCUGAACCAGCCAUGCCGCGUGCAGGAAGACUGCCCUAUGGGUUGUAAACUGCUUUUAUUCGGGAAUAAACCUUAUUACGUGUAAUAAGCUGAAUGUACCGAAGGAAUAAGGAUCGGCUAACUCCGUGCCAGCAGCCGCAGUAACAC